AUGGGUCUAAGAGACAAAAGGUGUGCGCAGAGUGGAAGGAUACGAUCACUGGAGUCGGCCAAGUAUUUGAAAGUCCUAAAGAUUUCUGUGUUUUCCAGGAUGCUUUGCAUAAAAUGUACUGGUGAAGAUUGCCCAUGGCGGAUACAUGCUUCCAAGUCUCCUUCCAACAUAGAUUUCAUGAUCAAGAAAAUGUCUGAAACACACACCUGUGAAUCUAAAACUGUGAAAAGUCAUCGUUUGGCGUCAUAG
rnacentral:rRNA from 1 species